rnacentral:rRNA from 1 species
AAUUUUGGACAAUGGGGGAAACACUGAUCCAGCCAUCCCGCGUGUAGGAUGAAGGCCUCCGGCUUGUAAAGUACUUUUGUCAGAGAUGAAAAGGUAUCUCCUAAUACGAGAUACUGCUGACGGUAUCUGCAGAAUAAGCACUGCCUACUACGUCCCAGCAGCCGCGGUAAUACGUAUGGUGCAAGCGUUAAACGGAAUUAAUGGGCGUAAGGCGUGUGUAGGCCGUUCGGAACGGAAGAUGUGAAAUCCCAGGGCUCAACCUUAGAACUGCAUUUUUAACUGACGAGCUAGAGUAUGUCAGAGGGGGGUAGAAUUCCACGUGUAGCAGUGAAAUGCGUAGAUAUGUGGAGGAAUACCGAUGGCGAAGGCAGCCCCCUGGGAUAAUACUGACGCUCAGACACGAAAGCGUGGGGAGCAAACA